rnacentral:rRNA from 1 species
CGGUAAUUCCAGCUCCAAUAGCGUAUACUAAAGUUGUUGCAGUUAAAAAGCUCGUAGUUGGAUUUCUGCGGGGACGGAGCGGCCGGACGCAACUUGCGUCUCGAGCUAGCGCUUUCCCCACAUCCUGCCGCGAACCGUGCUACCAUUAGCUUGGUGGCGCUGGGGAUCGGCUCGAUUACUUUGAGAAAAAUAGAGUGUUCAAAGCAGGCCACACGCCUUGAAUAAGUUAGCAUGGAAUAAUGAUUAAGGACUUCGGUUCUAUUUUGUUGGUGUUCGGGACUGAAGUAAUGAUUGAUAGGGACAGUUGGGGCGGUCUGUAUUCCAAAGCGAGAGGUGAAAUUCUUAGACCUUCGGAAGACAAACAGCUGCGAAAGCGUUCCGCAAGGAUGUUCCCUUUGAUCAAGAACGAAAGUUGGGGGAUCGAAGACGAUCAGAUACCGUCGUAGUCUCAACUAUAAACUAUACCAGCUAGGGAUCGGCCAACGCUUAACUUUAUCGACUUGGUCGGCACCUUAUGAGAAAUCAAAGCAUCUGGGUUCCGGGGGGAGUAUGGUCGCAAGGCUGAAACUUAAAGGAAUUGACGGAAGGGCACCACCAGGCGUGGAGCCUGUGGCUUAAUUUGACUCAACACGGGAAAACUUACCAGGUCCAGACAUAGGAAGGAUUGACAGAUUGAUAGCUCUUUCUUGAUUCUGUGGGUGGUGGUGCAUGGCCGUUUUUAGUCGGUGAAGUGAUUUGUCUGCUUAAUUGCGUUAACGGACGAGACCCCAGCCUGCUAAAUAGCGCGGCCGAGCUUUGCUCGGUGCGAGCUUCUUAGAGGGACCAUGAUGCGCGAUAGCACAAGGAAGUUUGGGGCAACAACAGGUCUGUGAUGCCCUUAGAUGUUCUGGGCCGCACACGGGCUACACUGGCGCCUGCAACGAGCAUAUCAGCUGGCCCGAGAGGGUCUUGGCUAAUCUUUGGAACCGGCGCCGUGCUUGGGAUUGACCAUUGCAAUUGUUGGUCAUGCAACGAGGAAUGCCUUGUAAACGCGAGUCAUCAGCUCGCAUUGAAUACGUCCCUGCCCCUUGUACACACCGCCC